rnacentral:rRNA from 1 species
AGAGUUUGAUCCUGGCUCAGAUUGAACGCUGGCGGAAUGCUUUACACAUGCAAGUCGAGCGGCAGCGCGGGGGCAACCCUGGCGGCGAGCGGCGAACGGGUGAGUAAUGUAUCGGAACGUACCCAGUCGUGGGGGAUAACUAUCCGAAAGGAUAGCUAAUACCGCAUACGUCCUGAGGGAGAAAGCGGGGGACCGUAAGGCCUCGCGCGAUUGGAGCGGCCGAUAUCGGAUUAGCUAGUUGGUGAGGUAAAGGCUCACCAAGGCGACGAUCCGUAGCUGGUCUGAGAGGACGACCAGCCACACUGGAACUGAGACACGGUCCAGACUCCUACGGGAGGCAGCAGUGGGGAAUUUUGGACAAUGGGGGCAACCCUGAUCCAGCCAUUCCGCGUGAGUGAAGAAGGCCUUCGGGUUGUAAAGCUCUUUCAGCAGGAACGAAACGGUGGUCCCUAAUACGGGCUACUAAUGACGGUACCUGAAGAAGAAGCACCGGCUAACUACGUGCCAGCAGCCGCGGUAAUACGUAGGGUGCGAGCGUUAAUCGGAAUUACUGGGCGUAAAGCGUGCGCAGGCGGUUAUAUAAGACAGAUGUGAAAUCCCCGGGCUUAACCUGGGAACUGCGUUUGUGACUGUAUAACUMGAGUGUGGCAGAGGGGGGUGGAAUUCCACGUGUAGCAGUGAAAUGCGUAGAUAUGUGGAGGAACACCGAUGGCGAAGGCAGCCCCCUGGRCCAAUACUGACGCUCAUGCACGAAAGCGUGGGGAGCAAACAGGAUUAGAUACCCUGGUAGUCC